GAUGAAGAACGUAGCAAAAUGCGAUACUUGGUGUGAAUUGCAGAAUCCCGCGAAUCAUCGAGUUUUUGAACGCAAGUUGCGCCCGAAGCCAUUCGGCCGAGGGCACGUCUGCCUGGGUGUCACGCAUCGUUGCCCCCCCAAACUCCGGUUCGGGCGGGGCGGAAGUUGGCCUCCCGUGCGUGCCUGCGCGCGCGGUUAGCCCAAAAGCGAGUCCUCGGCGACGAGCGCCACGACAAUCGGUGGUUUUUUUACCCUCGUUCCUCGUCGUGCGUGUCCCGUCGCCCGAACGCGCUCUUGCGACCCUCACGCGUCGCCUCGGCGGCGCUCCCAACGCGACCCCAGGUCAGGCGGGACUACCCGCUGAGUUUAAGCAUAUCAAUAAGCGGAGGA
rnacentral:misc_RNA from 1 species